rnacentral:rRNA from 1 species
AGGUCCCGCCUGCCCAGUGACGAUAAGUUCAACGGCCGCGGUAUUCUGACCGUGCAAAGGUAGCGCAAUCAAUUGUCUUUUAAAUGAAGACCUGUAUGAAUGGCAUAACGAAGGCUUAACUGUCUCCUUUUCUAAGUCAAUGAAAUUGAUCUUCCCGUGCAGAAGCGGGAAUAAUAACAUAAGACGAGAAGACCCUAUGGAGCUUUAGACAUAAGCAGACCUUGUUAAACACCCCUACUAAAGGACUAAACCAAAUUAACCCUGUCUAAAUGUCUUUGGUUGGGGCGACCGCGGGGAAAUAAAAAACCCCCAUGAAGACUGGAAACACUUUUCCACAGCUAAGAGCUCCCGCUCUAAGAAACAGAAUAUCUGACUACAGGAUCCGGCAAUGCCGAACAACGAACCGAGUUACCCUAGGGAUAACAGCGCAAUCCCCUUUAAGAGCCCAUAUCGACAAGGGGGUUUACGACCUCGAUGUUGGAUCAGGACAUCCUAAUGGUGCAACCGCUAUUAAGGGUUCGUUUGUUCAACGAUUAAAGUCCUACGUGAUC